rnacentral:rRNA from 1 species
UACGUAGGGUGCGAGCGUUGUCCGGAAUUAUUGGGCGUAAAGGGCUCGUAGGCGGUUUGUCACGUCGGGAGUGAAAACUCAGGGCUCAACUCUGAGCCUGCUUCCGAUACGGGCAGACUAGAGGUAUGCAGGGGAGAACGGAAUUCCUGGUGUAGCGGUGAAAUGCGCAGAUAUCAGGAGGAACACCGGUGGCGAAGGCGGUUCUCUGGGCAUUACCUGACGCUGAGUAGCGAAAGUGUGGGGAGCGAACAGG